UCGAGAAUUUUUCACAAUGGGCGCAAGCCUGAUGGAGCGACGCCGCGUGGGGGAUGAAGGGCUUCGGCUCGUAAACCCCUGUCAGUUGCGAACAAGAUUCAUUCAAUAACACUGGGUGGAUUGAUAGUAGUGACAGAGGAAGGGACGGCUAACUCUGUGCCAGCAGCCGCGGUAAUACAGAGGUCCCGAGCGUUGUUCGGAUUCACUGGGCGUAAAGGGUGCGUAGGCGGCUUUGCAAGUCUGAUGUGAAAUCUCCGGGCCCAACCCGGAAAUGGCAUUAGAAACUGCGGGGCUAGAGGCUUGGAGGGGGAACUGGAAUGCUCGGUGUAGCAGUGAAAUGCGUAGAGAUCGAGCGGAACACCAGUGGCGAAGGCGAGUUCCUGGACAAGACCUGACGCUGAGGCACGAAAGCCAGGGAGCAAACAGGAUUAGAUACCCUGGUAGUCCUGGCUGUAAACGGUGCACGUUUGCUGUGAGAGGAAUCCG
rnacentral:rRNA from 1 species